rnacentral:misc_RNA from 1 species
AAGUCGUAACAAGGUUUCCGUAGGUGAACCUGCGGAAGGAUCAUUAAUGAAUAACUUUGGCGUGGUUGUAGCUGGCUCCUUGGAGCAUGUGCACACCCGUCAUCUUUAUCUUUCCACCUGUGCACUACAUGUAGAUCUGGAUAACUCUCGCUCCUCUCUGAGGGCGGAAACAGGGAUUGCUGCGUCGCAAGGCCGGCUCUCCUUGAAUUUCCAGGUCUAUGCCUACACAAACUCCAAUUGAAUGACGAAGAAUGAAGUCAAUGGGCUCUAAGCCUAUAAAACAAAAUACAACUUUCAGCAACGGAUCUCUUGGCUCUC